GCCAAUCCUCUCCUCGCGCGCGGCGUGCUUCGAGUGGGUCGUGGAACCCUAGACCCCUUUCCCCAAUCCCACGGCCACCUCCAUCCUCCCGUGCUCCACCCCGAGCGUGCCCGGGCUCCGCCUCCUCCUCCUCCACCAUCCCUUCUCUUCUCACUCUUCCUCCUGUCGCAGCCGCCUCCUCUUCUCCCUAUCUUCCUCCUCCUCGCCCCACGCGACCCCUCUUGUGCCGCUCGUCUCCACUUCGUUGCCGCCAUAGAUCGAGGAGGACGGCGCGAUGACGACCAUGAUGCAUCGGACAUCCCAGAUCGACGACGCCAUGGAAGCCAUGAGAGCUGGCCGAGGAAGAGGGGGCAGGGCCGCAGGCCAUGAAGGGCAUGGCGGCUGCGGGCGGAAGCAGCAUGGGUUGUAGGAGCGGCGGAUGUGGGCGGGGUCAGAGGUUGGGGAAGACUCGUCGGCUGGGCGACAGCAAGCUUCGGUGAGUGCAAGCAUGCGUUUCUAGAAGCGUCCUCUCCUACAAGGCAGGCAAGGACGACGUCGUCGCCCUCGCAGGUUCUACGAUCUGUUGCAUCUCUUUUCUUCUCGUUAAGGUUAGCUGCUCUAUUUCCUAGGAGAGGGGAGGCGGCCAAUGACAGGGAGAAGGAGCAGGCCGUCGACGAGUGCAAGCAGAAGGAUUAAUUUUGGCCCAUACAGUUUCCGGUGACUGGAAGUCUGAAACUGAUGACAGGGCAUAUUGUUUUGGUUAUGAGUGGUUGGAGAUAUUGUGACUUGAUGUCCCUGGAGCAGUCAGACCCUUCCAAGAUAGGUCGAGCGACGGCGAGCACAUCCGACGGCAACACACCAAGAGACUAGGCGUGGGACUGGUGCUUGGUAGCAGCAGCGAUUCCUUCAGGCAUUUCGAUUCCAGUAACCACAAGUUGUAGGGAAGAUGUAUGUUUCCUACAAAGGGUUUGAGUUUGAGAGGCACAGAAGAAGUUACAAGUGUUGCAGCUUAUUUGGCUUUAUAGUGACAUGUAUCGACAAACAAUUGUUAUAUUCAGUAUGCUAGGGUGUGUCCUAUUUAUCAUGCAGAUUCUAUAUUAGGUGCUCGAUAGAGGUAACAAAAGCUAACAGAGAUCAGAAUAUAUUUUACUUAUAUUUUUGUCUUUCUUUUAGUUCUGUGUAGUCUUUAUUUACCAUGUAAUGAUUAGUUUGAAUGCUUAUAGUGGUGAUACUUUCCCUAUAAAUUUGUUGGGUAGAUUAUAAUUCUGUUACUUGAUUUAGGACAGUAUAUGGUUCUAUGAUACAGGAUUUAGAGGAACAUAUACGGGAUUUAGUUUUUCAGGUCACACUUGUCCCAUAUUCUGUUACUUUCCCUAUUGAUUUUAGCUUGCAAUUGAGUAAGAUGCAGGUUGGGAAUUCUCCCUUGUGUGUCAGAAUCUGAAGUAUUUGACCAUUUGGGUUCACUUCUAUCAUGUGUUGUAUCCUUCCUCUAUUUUAAGAUUUACUAGGCACAUGCAGGUUAGUUGUUGUUUCAAACAUGUCAAUGAAAGGUAAUAAUGUUAAAAUUGGUUCCCCAAGGGCCAAGGUGGUGAUGAUCACUUUGUGAUUCUUUUCCUACUUGUUCUAAAAAUGAUUCUUCUGGGUGAUGUUGAUUUAGGUUUUUGUGGUCGUGUCAUACACCAAUUACCGUCGAGAUGGGUAAUGGUAUGGGAAUGGGGCUCCAAGGAUGUGAAAAUGGUCUGGAAGACAGAGUUAGCAGCGAUAUGUGUCCUCAAGUAAUUUCUUGCCAAAGGUGAUGUGAAGGUUAGCUACUGUGAUCAAGGAAAUAACAUGUAUCUGUGUGGUUUGUUCCUGCUGUUGAUCGGCCAUUGCUGCGUUUAAGGUAUGUUGUGCCCGGUGCUACUUAAUGCUAUAUAAAACCUAUAGCUGUACAUAAAACACCUUGAUAUGCAAAUAACCCAGUUAAAAUAAAUGGGUUGCGCCAUCUAGCAUUACAUGACGACAUGCCAAACACUUUGCCACCUAGGAUAGUCUAUAUUUGUAUUUCAUCCAGUUAUCUCAUAUUUCCAGUAAAAAAACUCUUCGCUUUGGGGUUUUGGAAUAAUCUUCAGGAAGUUGGUGACGAGUUAGUAGAACUUAUAGAAAUGUCGCUUUCAUUAGACAAUGACAUGCCAAAGACGCCAUUGCCUAAGGUAGUCUUUGGACUUAAGCUAUCUCAUAUGUACAAUAACAAGAUUUGUCACUUCAGUUUUUAGAAUAAUCAUUGAUAAGUUGGUUAAGAAUUAGAGCUAAAGUUACGCUCAUGAGUAGUAUUUUUUGUACAAACAUCCAGUUAAUUCUUGAGAUACAAUAGAGACACUAUAUUAGUACUACUUUAGUCAAAUACAUUGUCCACUGGUUGUUGUAGUGAAAUGUCGCUCUAGCUAUUAAUUUACAGAAUUGUAGAAAAUAGCCCCUACGAAAUUACAAAGAGCGAGAAUAAGGAAGCUGGCAAACUUAGUGCUUCAUGGUAUUUCAGUAGAAAUUACAAAGAGCGAGAAUAAGGAAGCUGGCAAACUUAGUGCUUCAUGGUAUUUCAGUAGAAAGGAAAUAGAAGAGAAUUCUCCGUCUAAGAGGGAUGGCAUUGAUUUAAAGAAAGAGACUUACCUUCGGAAAUCGUAUUGCACUUAUCUACAAGAUUUGGGGAUGCGGCUCAAAGUGUAAGAUAUUUUAUGUCCUUCUAUGCAUUUAUCGAUACUGUAGCCUGUUGGCUGACUGUCCCUUACUUAUCCAAAACAUUGAGUUCUGCUACUUACCCAACCAGAUGUUAAAUAUUUCAAAAUGCGUCUUUAUAUUGUCAUUGUAUCGUAAUUGCUUCUCCUGAUGUGUUUUUGUUUUACACCAGCAUAUAUUUGGUCCAGAGAUGUUCAAUUGUUUGUCUGAUAAGAUAAUAUUUUACUUCUUUAUGGAGCACUCUUAUGGCAAGCACAUUUUUUCUGGAUGAACUGCUGGUUGGUUUUUUUCUCCAUAAAUACGAUAAAUUAUCAUAUCAUAUGAAAUGUCAAGAUAUACUGAAAAUAUGCCCUGUAUGAUGGUGGUCUGGCAUUUUAGAAUUGUUUUGGGCAAUUCAUGUUUGUAUGCAUUUUUUCUUUUGGCCCUUGAAGGCAUCUUUAAUAGUUUGCAAUUGCGAUAGAAAUUGCUGUGCUCGUAUCUUUAGUUUUAAUUACAAUUGGUCGAUCUACAACGAGUGCGUCUGAUUCCAACUCAUCAAGGUGAGCUCCCUCUUUUAUUCUUCUCAGGUAAUGAGGCGUCAGUGUAGGCCCAAUCUUUUUGUUUGUUGCUUUGAAGAGUGUUGUCAUGUUGUGGAAAGGCAACAUGUGCUUGAUAUGUGGAGUUGGUGUUGAGCCUGGCGGUAGUAGACAGGGAAGGCACCCAUCUCACUUGAUCUUGAGAGUUGAUUCAUAUCUUUUUUCUUGACCUGAUUGAGUUCCUUAUAUGCAAGGAUAAAGAAGAAGGGGCAUUGUCGUGGUUGUUGCUUAAGGUGUUGGUCAGGAGCUGAUUGCCGGGACUGAUGACAAGAACGGAGAGCAGGAUGAG